rnacentral:rRNA from 1 species
CGCGUAGGUGGUAGUGUAAGUCUGGGUGGAAUCCCAGGGCUCAACCCUGGAACUGCCUUGGAAACUGCAUUACUUGAGUCAGUGAGGGGAGGGUAGAAUUCCUGGUGUAGCGGUGAAAUGCGUAGAUAUCAGGAGGAAGGCCUGUGGCGAAGGCGGCCCUCUGGCGCUGGACUGACACUGAGGCGCGAAAGCGUGGGGAGCAAACAGGAUUAGAUACCCUGGUAGUCCACGCCCUAAACGGUGGGCACUAGGUGUAGGGCUCGGUAAGGGUUCUGUGCCGAAGGGAACCAUUAAGUGCCCCGCCUGGGGAGUACGGCCGCGAAGGUUGAA